rnacentral:rRNA from 1 species
CCUACGGGUGGCAGCAGUGGGGGAUAUUGCACAAUGGGGGGAACCCUGAUGCAGCGACGCCGCGUGGGUGAAGGAGUGCUUCGGCAUGUAAAGCCCUAUCGGCAGGGAAGAAGCAAGACGGUACCUGACUAAGAAGCCCCGGCUAACUACGUGCCAGCAGGCGCGGUAAUACGGAGGGGGCGAGCGUUAGCAGGAUUGACUGGGAGUAAAGGGAGUGUAGACGGCCAUGUAGGCCAGUGGUGAAAGGGUGGGGCCGAACCGCAGAAUGGCCAUGGAAACUGGAAGGCUUGAGUACAGUUGAGGGAGGCGGAACUCGUGGUGUAGCGGGGAAAUGCGUAGAUAUCACGAAGGA